ACCAGAGUGGCACAGUGGUUGAGUGUUAGACUGGAACUCUGGGAGACCAAAGUUCAAAUCCCUGCCCAGCUG